rnacentral:misc_RNA from 1 species
UUGAAAUGAGACAGACAGAUGGUGAGUUUUCAGUAGAAGAUGAAGAUCGUGAUCUUGCUCAAUGCAAUGGCUAAAAACACAACUCCAUCCGCCUGCAUGGAUGCCGGGCAAACCAAAAUUCUUGUGGUCAAAUGUGAAGAUUUUAGUUUCUCAGACUCCCCUCAUGUGUUCAAACAGUAUAAACCAUUCCAGGUUAACACCAUCUUCGCUGCCCAAACUUCUUUGCCAUAUUAGAAAUAUCACAAGCACCAUACAGGUUCUUUAAGUUUGCAAAAGGAUGGAAAUAACAACAUUGAGUAGAUUAAAUUCAUACAUACACGUAUCCAAAUUUCAAUAUAACAAGUUUCUUCAUAUCCCAAGUCAAUCCAGAUUGAAUCGAUGCCUUGGGAAUCCUGUCCUGCACUAAAAAGGUGCUUCGUAAUGGUCAGCUAGAGAUUCUUGUGAUUUCUCCCG